rnacentral:rRNA from 1 species
GACGAACGCUGGCGGCGUGCCUAAUACAUGCAAGUUGAGCGCUGAAGGUUGGUACUUGUACCAACUGGAUGAGCAGCGAACGGGUGAGUAACGCGUGGGGAAUCUGCCUUUGAGCGGGGUAAAACAUUGGGAAACGAAUGCAAAUCCGGCAUAAAAACUUUAAACACAGUUUUUAAGUUUAAAAGAUGCAAUUUCAUCAUGCAAAGAUGAUCCCGCGUUGUAUUAGCUAGUUGGUGAGGUAAAGGAGCACCAAGGGGUUGCUACGUAGCGGACAUGAGAGGGGGGUCGGCCACAUUGGGACUGAGACACGGCCCAAACUCCUACGGGAGGGAGCAGUAGGGAAUCUUGGGCAAUGGAUGGAAGUCUGACCGAGCAACGCCGCGUGAGUGAAGAAGGUUUUCGGAUCGGAAAACACUGUUGGUAGGGAAGAACGUUGGUGAGAGUGGAAAGCUCAUCAAGUGACGGUAACGACCCAGAAAGGGACGGCUAACUACGUG